UACGUAGGGGGCAAGCGUUAUCCGGAUUUACUGGGUGUAAAGGGAGCGUAGACGGCGAUGCAAGUCUGAAGUGAAAGGCGGGGGCCCAACCCCCGGACUGCUUUGGAAACUGUAUAGCUGGAGUGCAGGAGAGGUAAGUGGAAUUCCUAGUGUAGCGGUGAAAUGCGUAGAUAUUAGGAGGAACACCAGUGGCGAAGGCGGCUUACUGGAUUGUAACUGACGUUGAGGCUCGAAAGCGUGGGGAGCAAACAGG
rnacentral:rRNA from 1 species